rnacentral:rRNA from 1 species
AAAUUGAAGAGUUUGAUCAUGGCUCAGAUUGAACGCUGGCGGCAGGCCUAACACAUGCAAGUCGAACGGUAACAGGAAGCAGCUUGCUGUUUCGCUGACGAGUGGCGGACGGGUGAGUAAUGUCUGGGAAACUGCCUGAUGGAGGGGGAUAACUACUGGAAACGGUAGCUAAUACCGCAUAACGUCGCAAGACCAAAGAGGGGGACCCUCGGGCCUCUUGCCAUCGGAUGUGCCCAGAUGGGAUUAGCUUGUUGGUGGGGUAACGGCUCA